GACGAACGCUGGCGGCGCGCUUAACACAUGCAAGUCGAACGGAAAGGCCCUGCUUUUGUGGGGUGCUCGAGUGGCGAACGGGUGAGUAACACGUGAGUAACCUGCCCUUGACUUUGGGAUAACUUCAGGAAACUGGGGCUAAUACCGGAUAGGAGCUCCUGCUGCAUGGUGGGGGUUGGAAAGUUUCGGCGGUUGGGGAUGGACUCGCGGCUUAUCAGCUUGUUGGUGGGGUAGUGGCUUACCAAGGCUUUGACGGGUAGCCGGCCUGGGAGGGUGACCGGCCACAUUGGGACUGAGAUACGGCCCAGACUCCUACGGGAGGCAGCAGUGGGGAAUAUUGCACAAUGGGCGGAAGCCUGAUGCAGCAACGCCGCGUGCGGGAUGACGGCCUUCGGGUUGUAAACCGCUUUCGCCUGUGACGAAGCGUGAGUGACGGUAAUGGGUAAAGAAGCACCGGCUAACUACGUG
rnacentral:rRNA from 1 species